UACGUAGGGUGCAAGCGUUGUUCGGAAUUACUGGGCGUAAAGCGCGCGUAGGCGGACCUGCAAGUCGGGGGUGAAAGCCCGAGGCUCAACCUCGGAACUGCCUUCGAUACUGCGGGUCUCGAGUCCGGGAGAGGUGAGUGGAAUCCUAGUGUAGAGGUGAAAUUCGUAGAUAUUAGGAAGAACACCAGUGGCGAAGGCGGCUCACUGGCCCGGUACUGACGCUGAGGCGCGAAAGCGUGGGGAGCAAACAGG
rnacentral:rRNA from 1 species